UACUUGAAGGUGUACUCAACAUGAGGUUUUAACAUCCACACCACCAUCACAAGAACCAUUUACAGAGUUCAAAAGCAACUGCGUAACAGGAACAACCCAGUGAACAGAACAAAAGACAGACAGAGAAUGGAAGAGACUGAGUGUGAGACCAUAUAAUAAGCAGGAGGAACGAGACCGGGAGCUACGCCUCUCCGUGGAAACACGCACACUUUCAGUCACACACCUGGGCGGAC
rnacentral:lncRNA from 1 species